ACAGCUUUAGGAGCUAAAAUUCCCAAAGGGUGUUUAUUAGUUGGGCCACCUGGAACAGGGAAGACCCUGUUGGCUAGAGCUGUUGCUGGAGAGGCAGGAGUGCCAUUUUUCUCUUGCGCGGCAUCGGAGUUUGUGGAGUUGUUCGUGGGAGUUGGGGCAUCAAGAGUGAGAGAUUUGUUUGAGAAAGCCAAGGCGAAGGCUCCGUGCAUUGUAUUUAUUGAUGAGAUUGAUGCCGUGGGAAGGCAGAGAGGAGCGGGGCUUGGAGGUGGAAAUGAUGAGAGAGAGCAAACAAUUAAUCAGUUGUUGACUGAAAUGGAUGGGUUUUCGGGCAAUUCGGGUGUUAUAGUGUUAGCUGCCACUAAUAGACCUGAUGUUCUUGAUUCGGCUUUGUUAAGACCUGGGAGGUUUGAUAGACAGGUUACUGUGGACAGACCAGAUGUUGCUGGUAGAGUGAAGAUCCUUCAGGUUCACUCUAGAGGAAAGGCUCU
rnacentral:misc_RNA from 1 species